GGGGACGUAACAAAGCGACCCAGGAAUACUUGGGCGUGCCUCCACCCACGCCGGCGUCGGCGGGCGUAUUUCGCCUCACAGUAGGUCGCCGCGACCCGUUGCUUUUGGGGACGUCGAAGGCCCGGACGGAUUGGUACCCUACCGGCUGGGGAUGCGGCUUCGGCUUCUCCUCUUGUCCGGUGGGCGAAACCGCCGGUGUCCUGGCUGCCCUGCGACGGUCGUAGAGACGAGCCCUCCCCCAUUCGUGGGGGGGCGGCUCUCGCGGCGUGCAAAAGGUCGGUGAUCCACCCGACCCGUCUUGAAACACGGACCAAGGAGUCUAACAUGUGUGCGAGUCAGUGGGCGCACUAAACCCAGAGGCGUAAUGAAAGUGACACGGGUUCGGCUGUCGCCUCGUGUGGCAGCCGGACUCAGGGCCGAUCCCUCACCGGUUGCCCUCGCCUCUCUCCCGCGUCUCGGUAAGCCGGGUGAGCUAUUUUCCCCGGCCAAUGCUGCGGGGCACGGGGGGAGGCGGGGUUGCGAUGGUGUCCGUAAAAAAGAGCCUGCUGUUGCAGGGGGGCGCAGGCCCGGGACUUGCCAGGACGCCGCGAGACUGUCACUUUGCUGUGAGGCUCUAGGGCCGAUCAGCGGGUCAUGCGUGCAGUCGGCAAGUACCAUGAGCAGACAUGUUGGGACCCGAAAGAUGGUGAACUAUGCCUGGCCAGGAUGAAGCCAGAGGAAACUCUGGUGGAGGUCCGUAGCGAUUCUGACGUGCAAAUCGAUCGUCGGAGCUGGGUAUAGGGGCGA
rnacentral:rRNA from 1 species